UACGUAGGCAGCGAGCGUUGUUCGGAGUUACUGGGCGUAAAGAGUGCGUAGGCGGUUUUCUAAGUUUGGUGUGAAAUCUCCCGGCUUAACUGGGAGGGUGCGCCGAAGACUGGAAGGCUUGAGUAUGGGAGAGGUAAGCGGAAUUCCUGGUGUAGCGGUGAAAUGCGUAGAUAUCUGGAGGAACACCGGUGGCGAAGGCGGCAUCCUGGACCGGCAUUGACGCUGAGGCGCGAAAGCCAGGGGAGCAAACGGG
rnacentral:rRNA from 1 species